rnacentral:rRNA from 1 species
AUGAACGCUGGCGGCGCGCCUAACACAUGCAAGUCGAACGGUUAAGGCGCCCUUCGGGGCGCGCAUAGAGUGGCGAACGGCUGAGUAACACGUGGGCAACCUGCCCCCCGCACCGGGACAGCCUCGGGAAACCGUGGGUAAUACCGGGUACUCCGCCACCCCCGCAUGGGGGAGGCGGGAGAGCGUAUGCGGCGGGGGAUGGGCCCGCGGCCUGUUAGCUAGUUGGCGGGGCAACGGCCCCCCAAGGGGAUUAUGGGUAGGUGGGUUGGGGGGCCGGACAGGCAGAUUGGGACUGAGGACCGGCCCCGGCUCCCACGGGAGGCAGGCGGUGGGGAUCCUGCGCAAUGGGGGCAACCCUGACGCAGCGACGCCGCGUGCGGGACGAAGGCCUUCGGGUCGUAAACCGCUUUCAGCAGGGACGAGGCCGCGAGGUGACGGUACCUGCAGAAGAAGCCCCGGCUAACUACGUGCCAGCAGCCGCGGUAAUACGUAGGGGGCGAGCGUUAUCCGGAUUCAUUGGGCGUAAAGCGCUCGUAGGCUGCCCGCUAGGUCCGGGGUCAAAUCCGGGGGCUCAACCCCCGCACGCCCCGGAUACCGGCGGGCUUGAGUCGGGUAGGGGAAGGCGGAAUUCCAGGUGUAGCGGUGGAAUGCGCAGAUAUCUGGAAGAACACCGGUGGCGAAGGCGGCCUUCUGGGCCUCGACUGACGCUGAGGAGCGAAAGCUGGGGGAGCGAACAGGAUUAGAUACCCUGGUAGUCCCAGCCGUAAACGAUGGACGCUAGGUGUGGGGGGAGAUGCCCUCCGUGCCGCAGCCAACGCAUUAAGCGUCCCGCCUGGGGAGUACGGCCGCAAGGCUAAAACUCAAAGGAAUUGACGGGGGCUCGCACAAGCAGCGGAGCAUGUGGCUUAAUUCGAAGCAACGCGAAGAACCUUACCAGCGCUUGACAUUAUGGUGAAGCCGGGGAGACCCGGUGGCCGAGAGGAGCCAUAACAGGUGGUGCAUGGCUGUCGUCAGCUCGUGUCGUGAGAUGUUGGGUUAAGUCCCGCAACGAGCGCAACCCCCGUCGCGUGUUGCCAGCGGUUCGGCCGGGCACCCGCGCGAGACCGCCGGCGUCAAGCCGGAGGAGGGUGGGGACGACGUCAAGUCAUCAUGCCCCUUAUGCGCUGGGCCGCACACGUGCUACAAUGGCCGGCACAACGGGCUGCCACGCCGCAAGGCGGAGCGAAUCCCCAAAGCCGGCCCCAGUUCGGACCGGGGGCUGCAACCCGCCCCCGCGAAGUCGGAGUUGCUAGUAAUCGCGGAUCAGCACGCCGCGGUGAAUGCGUUCCCGGGCCUUGUACACACCGCCCGUCACACCACCCGAGUCGCCUGCACCCGAAGUCGCCGGCCCAACCCGCGAGGGGGGGAGGUGCCGAAGGUGUGGCUGGUAAGGGGGGUG